GCGAAAUUUAAAAAAAUAUAUUGGCGAAGAUUUUGGUGAGUUUAGGCAACUUCUUCAAAUCAUUUACAUGUUCUUAUGAUACUCUUAUCAUUCUAUACAAAAUUGCUCUUUCAAAUAAUGUAGAAGAUUCCUUCAUAUUUCUCUCUCUUUUUCACCACCCCAAAAGUCCUUCCUUCAUUCCCCUCCAAUCUUGCAAUCAAACCCUAAAAGUCACUCAAUCAUAACCGUAAGAUGCAUCUGAUGUCAAUCCCUCAAUCUAGUGCAAUUCAUUCGCCCUAUCUACUAAAAUAUAAUGAUAUUUCUUGGCAAAAAUACUACUCUCUUACACCAAUGGAUAGAAGUCUUCCUUUAUAUUACCUCUUACUCACCUCAAUUGCAUAUUGACUUGAGUGUUGAAGUAUUUUGCAACACCAUUUCGACGAACAAACUCGCAUCGUCGUUUGCCACCAUAACUUAUGUGUCUUCAUCAUAUUCCGGCAUCCUAAGAAAUUCCCCUCAUAUCACAAUUUAUUUUACAUUACAGAUUUUGAUGGUUUCUUACUUUUUUCCACUAACUGCGGAACACAUUUAUCUUAAAAUCUGUUACCUCUAUAUAGUCAAUGGUUGGAGAGGAUUCUAUAAGUAGUUGUGGACCACUGUAAACCGAUGAAAUAUUGCAUGUAACAAAGUGGUUGAGCAGGGUUGGUGCACUAGCUAGAGAAUGGUUUGUGAGAUUUUUUGCUACUAAAAUACCAUAAAUAAAAGGUGUGAAAAAGAUAAUUUAUUUACUCAUUUAAAUUAAUGUCUAUAAAUGCAAGAGAAUAUUACAAUUAAAAGGAUUCUUAUUUUCUAUUUUAAUUAAUUCAUCUCUCUUUCAAUCCAUUAAUUUUCUAGCUGGGAAAAUUUAGAACUUGUAGACGGUGGUGUUUAGGACCCCUAAAUCAACAUAUGCAAACUAUUUAAAAAUAGAUUUAAUUGCACUUUUAUACUCUAACGUAUUGUGAUUUUCGCUUCUAACUUUUUUAGCACUUUUGUCCAUGGUGAUAUUCCCCCUUUAUGAUUUGUAAUCCUCCUUCAAAUUUCUCCCCAAACUUUGGCCCCUAUAUCAUCUAUUAAUUGACGCCACAUUCAUCUUUCACAUUCAACAUAACUUUUAUAAUUA
rnacentral:lncRNA from 1 species